rnacentral:rRNA from 1 species
UAGCUGGUUGGUGAGGUAACGGCUCACCAAGGCGACGAUCGGUAGCCGAACUGAGAGGUUGAUCGGCCGCAUUGGGACUGAGACACGGCCCAGACUCCUACGGGAGGCAGCAGUGGGGGAUAUUGCACAAUGGAGGAAACUCUGAUGCAGCAACGCCGCGUGAGGGAAGAAGGUCUUCGGAUUGUAAACCUUAGUAGUCAGGGACGAAACAAAUGACGGUACCUGAAGAGUAAGCUCCGGCUAACUACGUGCCAGCAGCCGCGGUAAUACGUAGGGAGCGAGCGUUGUCCGGAAUUACUGGGUGUAAAGGGUGCGUAGGCGGGACUGCAAGUCAGGCGUGAAAUACCGGGGCUUAACUCCGGGGCUGCGCUUGAAACUGUGGUUCUUGAGUGAAGUAGAGGCAGGCGGAAUUCCUAGUGUAGCGGUGAAAUGCGUAGAUAUUAGGAGGAACACCAGUGGCGAAGGCGGCCUGCUGGGCUUUAACUGACGCUGAGGCACGAAAGCAUGGGGAGCAAACAGGAUUAGAUACCCUGGUAGUCCAUGCUGUAAACGAUGAUAGCUAGGUGUGGGGGGACUGACCCCUUCCGUGCCGGAGUUAACACAAUA